AACGCGAAGAACCUUACCUGGGCUUGAACCGCACAGGACCAGUUUGAGAAAUCAGACCUUCCCGCAAGGGACCUGUGUAGAGGUGCUGCAUGGCUGUCGUCAGCUCGUGCCGUGAGGUGUUGGGUUAAGUCCCGCAACGAGCGCAACCCUUACUCAUAGUUGCUACCAUUUAGUUGAGCACUCUGACGAAACCGCCUCGGAUAACGGGGAGGAAGGUGGGGAUGACGUCAAGUCCUCAUGGCCUUUAUGUCCAGGGCUACACACGUGCUACAAUGGCCGGUACAAACCGUCGCAAACCCGUGAGGGGGAGCUAAUCGGAAAAAGCCGGCCUCAGUUCGGAUUGGAGUCUGCAACUCGACUCCAUGAAGCUGGAAUCGCUAGUAAUCGCGGAUCAGAAUGCCGCGGUGAAUACGUUCCCGGGCCUUGUCACACCGCUAGUC
rnacentral:rRNA from 1 species